AGCCCUUGUGCUCAGCUAGGUAAUUCAUUUCGUAACUGACCGACUAGAGUCUGUAGAGGGGGUAGACUACCAGUGUAGCUGUCGAAAUGCGUAGAGCUCUGUAGCAAUUCCCGUUGGGAACGCCGCCCUCUUGGACAUAGACUUACGUUCAUGCACGAAAGCGUGCGGAGCACACAGGAUUAGAUACCGUGGUAGUCCACGCUGUAAACGAUGUCUGGUAGUAGCUUGGUGUCUUGAACACUGGGCUCUCAAGCUAACGCAUUAAGUAGACCGCCUGGGGAGUACGGCCGCAAGGUUAGCACUCAAAUGAAUUGACGCGGGCCCGCACAAGCGGUGGAGCACGUGGUUUUAUUCGAUGCAACGCGAAGAACCUUACCUACUCUUGACAUCCACGGAAGACUGCAGAGAUGCGGUUGUGCCUUCGGGAACCGUGAGACAGGUGCUGCAUGGCUGUCGUCAGCUCGUGUUGUGAAAUGUUGGGUUAAGUCCCGCAACGAGCGCAACCCCUAUCCUUAUUUGCCAGCACGUAAUGGUGGGAACUCUAGGGAGACUUCCGGUGAUAAACCGGAGGAAGGUGGGGACGACGUCAAGUCAUCAUGGCCCUUACGAGUAGGUCUACGCACGUGUUACAAUGGCGAGUACAGAGGGUUGCAAAGCCGCGAGGUGGAGCUAAUCUCACAAAGCUCGUCGUAGUCCGGAUUGGAGUCUGCAACUGGACUCCAUGAAGUCGGAAUCGCUAGUAAUCGUGGAUCAGAAUGCCACGGUGAAUACGUUCCCGGGCCUUGUACACACCGCCCGUCACACCAUGGGAGUGGGCUGCAAAAGAAGUGGGUAGCUUAACCUUCGGGGGGGCGCUCACCACUUUGUGGUUCAUGACUGGGGUGAAGUCGUAACAAGGUAACCA
rnacentral:rRNA from 1 species